GGGGCGCCGCGAGACAGGCGCCCAGCAGAAUGCAAAGUCCCUGCGGGCCUAGACCUGCGCGGUCUUGCCCCCGUGACCUGGCCCGCGGGGCUGCUGGGGCAGCAAAAGGUGGGGAAAGUUGCGGGGUCGCACGGGGAAGUCGCCGGAGUGCGCGCGGAGGAGGGGACAGGAGCAGGUACCUGCAGGAGUCCCGGCGCCUCGAGCUCGCUCCGCUUUGCGACGCCGCCUGCCCGCGCUGCAGGAAUCAGGCCUCGCCGCGCGGCCCCGCGCCCGCCGCGGCGGCGGCGAGGAGAGCGGGGUGGCCCGCCUGAGUCCGUCGGUCCGUCCCGCCCGGCGGGAGCUAGGCGCCUGGGAGCCGCGAAUAGGGCGGGGCGGGGCGGGACGGGGCGGGGCCGGCUGCUCGGCCGCCGCCCCAUUGGUCGGGCUUCGGCAGCCGCCUGGCUUCUGGCCCUCCGCCCGCGCUCCCCAGGCGGAGGGCCCGGCGCUCAGACGCCGGCUAUUGCAGGUUGCGGGACUCAGGCAGUGCGACCCGCGGAUGCAUGGAAAGACAGGCGGCCUUGCGGAGCGCGCGCCCCCGCCCAGGCCCGAGUGCAGAGUCACCCCCGGAGCCGCGUGCCCUGUCCGGGUGGGAGCAGGAGCGCGCCCAGUGCCUCCUACCUGCGCGCCCUCCGGGCUGGAGCCGCGACCCAGCGGGAGACCGACCACCUCAUUCCGCGGCCCUGGCGCCUCCGGCAACUGCCUCUCCAGAAGUCGCGGCCCAAGCGACACUGUACAUUGGCCGGGAUUCUCUUAGGAAGUGCCGAGGCCCCAACUUGUUUUAAAACAAAGUGCGAAGAAAAAAACGGCCCCGGUCCUGCCUGUUUACCAGCCGCCCCGCUGCCCGAAGACUCGUGCACGGUGCAGAACAAGACUGUUUCUCACGCUCCGUUCCUCGACUUACCUACCAAGUCACAUGCACUGAGCGAAAGGGGGACGAGUCGAGUCUCCUUCCCGAAGGAUGGAAGAGAGGUCAGAGGGAGAUGCCUUUGGCCGAGGUUGAGGAACAAACCCGGGCCUCAGCGAGGGCGGCGUGCGGUCCAGAAGGCGUCGCGGGCCCCUCUGCAGUGA
rnacentral:lncRNA from 1 species